rnacentral:rRNA from 1 species
UACAGAGGUCCCAAGCGUUGUUCGGAUUCACUGGGCGUAAAGGGUGCGUAGGUGGCAAGGUAAGUUUGAUGUGAAAUCUCCGGGCUUAACCCGGAAACUGCAUUGAAUACUAUCUCGCUCGAGGGUUGGAGGGGGGACUGGAAUACUUGGUGUAGCAGUGAAAUGCGUAGAUAUCAAGUGGAACACCAGUGGCGAAGGCGAGUCCCUGGACAACUCCUGACACUGAGGCACGAAAGCUAGGGGAGCAAACAGG